UUUUGUCAUCAAAGGUCCCAUGAGCAACAGCUGUCAAAAUAAAUGAAAAAGCUGAUACGACGCACCUGUAGUAUUGAUUUUGCCUCGUUAAACAGUUUUUUUUACAAUGAGUGGAAUAAAUUCAAUGCCAGAAGCUGCGACUUUUCGAAACCAAAUCGUUUGGUUUGAUGAAAGGAAUUUACGGAAGAACAUUCCUAUGGAAAGACCCCAACUAAAGACCCGCCAGAUCACAGCUUAGUAGUCUCUUCACUUGAUGGUUCCAGUUGAGAAACAGCAUCGGGAUCGAUUCCAUCGAUGGGAAUGAGCACCCAUUCGCCAUCCAACCUUCAAGCGAAUCCAGUAACACUGAUUCCAUGACAAAAGCGGUCCGCACCGGCUGGGCAACUGGAAACAUCAAUGGAUCAGUCUCCCCAAUCAAUCCCUUCAUCUUCCCUGACACGUCUUCGUCCGUUAAUUCACCAGCUUCGUAUAAGCUGACUUCAUCAGACGGUAGCCUAGGCCUUGAAAUUGAGUCCUUAAAAACGAGUUAUGAAGAGUUGAAUGGUGUACUAACAGGGCUGGUAGCAAGUCACU